AUACGUAGGGGGCGAGCGUUGUCCGGAAUGAUUGGGCGUAAAGGGCGCGUAGGCGGCCCGGUAAGUCUGGAGUGAAAGUCCUGUUUUUAAGAAGGGAAUUGCUUUGGAUACUGUCGGGCUUGAGUGCAGGAGAGGUAAGUGGAAUUCCCAGUGUAGCGGUGAAAUGCGUAGAGAUUGGGAGGAACACCAGUGGCGAAGGCGACUUACUGGACUGUAACUGACGCUGAGGCGCGAAAGUGUGGGGAGCAAACAGGAUUAGAUACCCUGGUAGUCCACACUGUAAACGAUGAAUGCUAGGUGUAGGGGGUAUCGACCCCUUCUGUGCCGCAGUCAACACAAUAAGCAUUCCGCCUGGGGAGUACGGCCGCAAGGUUGAAACUCAAAUGAAUUGACGGGG
rnacentral:rRNA from 1 species